rnacentral:rRNA from 1 species
AUUGAACGCUGGCGGAAUGCUUUACACAUGCAAGUCGAACGGCAGCACGGGAGCAAUCCUGGUGGCGAGUGGCGAACGGGUGAGUAAAGCAUCGGAACGUGCCCAGUCGUGGGGGAUAACGUAGCGAAAGCUACGCUAAUACCGCAUACGAUCUGUGGAUGAAAGCGGGGGACCGUAAGGCCUCGCGCGAUUGGAGCGGCCGAUGUCAGAUUAGGUAGUUGGUGAGGUAAAGGCUCACCAAGCCGACGAUCUGUAGCUGGUCUGAGAGGACGACCAGCCACACUGGGACUGAGACACGGCCCAGACUCCUACGGGAGGCAGCAGUGGGGAAUUUUGGACAAUGGGCGCAAGCCUGAUCCAGCAAUGCCGCGUGCAGGAUGAAGGCCUUCGGGUUGUAAACUGCUUUUGUACGGAGCGAAAAGGCUUCCACUAAUACUGGGGGCUCAUGACGGUACCGUAAGAAUAAGCACCGGCUAACUACGUGCCAGCCGCCGCAGUAA